rnacentral:lncRNA from 1 species
UUUUGAACACCUGUCUCUACUUGGAGGUUGCAUUUUAAAUUCUUUGUAAGCUAUCACUGUUCAUAUGACAUUCUACUUUUCUCACUGCAAGAGGAAAACCUUGGAUGAAGCGAUACAUAGCUGUCAUUGAAUGUGACCUUGAAGCAAUAUAUAGGGUUAAUUUGGCUGCAGAGAGAAAGCAGAGGUACGACGCAAUGUGAGCUAAUAUGCUGUCACACUAUCAAAACAGUGGCAGACCGGCUGACAAAACUGCUGCUUGAGCAUUAUCUGCCACUCAAAGAAUACUAGAAACCAUUGAGCCCGUCAAUCGCUGUGUAAGCAGCUGCAUCUUUCCCUGAGGUGGCACGAAGAAGGAGCUGUGAUCUCAUUGACCAACUUUCUGCAUGGGGGUCCUGGUUGUCAGUGGAAGAUUGCAACAAGGUAUUCCAGGGUGAAAAUAAAGCCUUUUCAUUUAUCAGAAAUGGUGGGCCUCCUAAUUAUAACAUGGCUCCAGGGCCCACAAUGAGCUUUUUGUGGUAGGCCAGCCACAGCUCACUUGUAAUUCGAAUUGGUAACUUUUGAAAGCACCGGAAAUCAGUUUUUGUGUUUUUUGAGAAUGGCAUAGUUCUUUCAGCCAUGAUUUAGGCAAAAUAAGUAUUUGUUGGUUACUGGAAAUAUCUCUUCAAGAGAGCAUUGUGAAUGCACCUUUGCUGCCUUUUAAGCUUACACUUCUGUCCAAGUCUUAGUCUGUUAUUUCACUGCACUGUUUGCUUUAUUUGAAAAUAAAGACUACUACAUUUAAUGAUGCUCUCAAAAAA